rnacentral:lncRNA from 1 species
AAGACUUUAGCAUCCUUCAUCCUUUCAGGCUUCAGCAGUCUCUCAUUGCGCAGAGAGCUGGAAGGGAAAGAAAGAUGGAGCCACCUUCUUCCCAAGUUAUGUCAAGCACAGAUGACACCCAGGAUAGGAUCAUCAAUGAAUGGCAAGUGUUUUGAUGCUCUCAUCUCCUUAAUCUUCUCUUAAUUUUUCUCUUCCAUUUCUUUUUUUUUUUUUCGUUAUUCAGGUUCUUAGGUUUGUAGCUAUUAUGAUCUCUCUUUUUGCAGUUGUUCUUGCUGUUAUGACUGCACUGAUAGUUGCCUUGAUUACAUAUGCUGCUCCUUCCUCUGUUAGCCUUGCCAGCAUCUCACAUACUUCACAAGCAAUAGAUCAGUGGAUCCAGCAGAAACAAGGAAAAAGAGGGUGCCGGGAAGGAGGAAAAUUAAGUCAUGAUGUUAGCUAUUUCUUGCUCUCAAAACAAUUUAGUUGCUUGUGUUAUUCGAUCAUCUUUACAUAUUAAAUGAAUGGACAUUAUAUUGCCCCGGCUGUCUCCUGGAAUUGGCAGUGAACAAGAGUCUUCUAUUUGAUAAAUGCAACCAUGUGGCAUACCUUUGCUUUUUAAGAGAAUGGGUAAAUAGUAGAUCAAUUUUUUCUGAAGC